rfam:Oryza sativa Japonica Group DNA, chromosome 4, cultivar: Nipponbare, complete sequence.
AAUAAGUGUAGUUUUAGCACGGUUCAUAUCUAACGUUUGACCGUUCGUCUUAUUUAAAAAAAUUGUAAUUAAUAUUUUUAUUGCUAUUACAUGAUAAAACAUGAGUAGUACUUUAUGUGUGGCUAUUUUUUAAAAUUUUUUUAAAAUUUUUUUAAAUAAGACGUAUGGUCAGAACGCUAAAUACGGAUAUUUAUGGCUGUAUUUAUU